ensembl:lncRNA
GCAUAUGGAAGUUCCCAGGUUAGGGAUCAAAUUGGAGCUGCAGCUGCUGGCCUAUGCCGCAGCUCACAGCAAUGCCGGAUCCUUAAAGACCCACUGACCAGGGCCAGGGAUCGAACCCACAACCUCAUGGUUCCUAGUCGAAUUUGUUUCUGCUGCGCCACGAUGGGAACUCCUGCCAUGAGACUUUGCGCCACCAGAGACCCCGGACUCCUUCUCAGGGUCUCAGAGAGGUCUUAGGUCCUGGCUUUUUUUUGUACACUAUGGAAGGAGAAGGCCGAAACCGAAGUCAGACUAAAUUUGACUCAACAACUGCAUGUAGCAUUUCUGUACUGAGUUUUCUCUAGGGAGAAAGUCAUAACUUUCUCACCCGAGUCCACAAGAACUGUGGCCUCACGCUCCUCUAGGGAGCUUGCUUUUCCAUCUCUGCACAAGCCUUCGCAGCUAGAGGGUCCCUCCCGGGGGCUGUCCCCUCCUGCAGGGCCUGGUCUGGCCCGGAGUCAGGAGUCCGUCCCAGCCCUGAGGCACGUCUGUCCCACGGUUGUCACCACCUCCUGUCCUGCACCUCCCAUGUGUCUGCCCCUCCAGCAUUAUUUCUCCCGACACAGGAUAAUUGGGGUCAAAUGGCAGGACACGUGUCCCCCUCAAGUGUAGCUUCUCCACUGAGCGGCACCUAAUUACAUCUUUUUUCAAGUUUUUAUUAUUUUUGAUUUACAGUGUUCCUUCAAUUUCUGCUGUACAGCAAAGUGCCUACAUUCUUUUUUUUUUUUUCCCUACUAUCUUCCAUCACAUUCUAACCCAAAAGACUGGACUGAUUGUAUCUUAAUUAAAAACUUAGCUCCUGGAGUUCCCAUCAUAGCUCAGCGGAAACGAAUCUGACUAGCAUCCAUGAGGACGCAGGUUCAAUCCCUGGCCUUGCUCAGUGGGUUAAGGAUCUGGAGUUGCUAUGAGCUGUGGUGUAGGUUGAAGACCCGACUCAGAUCCUGUGUUGCUGUGGCUGUGGUGUAAGCCACCAGCUACAGCUCCAAUUGGACCCCUAGCCUGGGGACCUCCAUAUGCCGUGGGUGGGGCCCUAAAAAGACAAGGAAAACAAAACAAAACAAAACACAAAACCUUAGCUCCCUAAUAAGCAAGGUUCUAAAGAGGCUUCACUUUUCCUCCAGCUUCAAUCUUCUUAAAAGGCAAAUUCAGUCAGAGAGGAACUUUUGGGGGCUAAAAAUAGGCUGGGAAACCUCAGUACACAGCAUCUCAGAGGGGCAGUAGAGGAGACUCAAUGUUUAUCCAGUUCAUGGGUUUUGUUGGUGGGGGUGGGUCUGUUAUUAUUUUUCAAUGAGUCAAAUUCAUUUCAAGAAAUAAAUGGAAAAUGGGUCCCAUGUUGUCGCAGGCACUGUGCCAAGUGUUUCAGACUCUUAGGAAUGUCAUUAGAUAAUUACCGUAUUUACUGUCAAUAGCGCUCAUUAAUCUCACGGCUCCUCUGAAGAGAGGAGCCCUUCAGAGCGUAAUUGCUGCUGGCUGAAGUGUCUCUAUCCUAGGACGCAGUUCCAUGAAAUCUGUGCCUCAGGAUCGGUGGCUGGACAACGCCAGGUCCUUCUUGGGCACCACCCUCUGGAGUUCUCCCAAGUUCACCACGCCGCUGCCUUCCCCCAAAGCAAUCAAAGGUCUCAUUUGAUUCCCUUCAAUCGACUCUACUGAGCUCCUCUGUGCUGGUGAUAGAAAGGUAGAUGAGACGUCAGCCCUCCCCUCAAAGGAGCUCACAGUUGAAUGGUACAGACAGAAAGACAAGCAAAUGUGAGCUGUGGGUGAUACGUGCAGUUGUAGAAAGAGGUACAGCUGUGGGUCAGGAAAUGGAAGGAGGAGCUCUCUCUGCAGGAUGAAAAGAGCUCCCAGGGACAUCUACACCUGGGUUUUAAAGGAUGAAUAGAAGUCCAGCAUGCAGAUGUAUCCAGAUAAAAAUUACCACUCCAUGGAACCCAUUGCCUCUCUUCCUCCUCAUCCCUACCCCUGCUUUUUUUUUCUCUGAAAAUCCAUUUUAAUUCAAAGGGAAAAUUGUAAAUCAUACAUAUACAUGUAGGUUUUUUAAAAUAUAAUUUUAUUGGAGUAUAGUUGACUUACAAUGUUGUAUUAGUUUCAGAUACACAACCAAAUAAAUCAGUCUUAUGUACAAAUACACCCAUUCUUUUUUCCCAUAUAUGUUAUUACAAACUAUUGAGUCGAUUUCCCUAUGCUAUAGAGUAGUUCUCACUAAUCAUCUGCUUUUUACAGUACUGUGUGUAUGUUAUUCCCACCAAUUCCCCGCUCCCCCUAAUCGCCUCACCUCUGGUAGCCAUGAGAUUGGUUUUGAAAUCUGUGAGUUUGUUUCUGUU